rnacentral:rRNA from 1 species
UACGUAGGGGGCAAGCGUUGUCCGGAAUCAUUGGGCGUAAAGAGCGUGUAGGCGGCCAGAUAAGUCCGCUGUGAAAUCUCUCGGCUCAACCGAGAAACGUCGGCUGAUACUGCCGUUCUUGAGGGAUGCAGAGGAGACUGGAAUUCCCGGUGUAGCGGUGAAAUGUGUAGAGAUCGGGAGGAACACCGGUGGCGAAGGCGGGUCUCUGGGCAUUUCCUGACGCUGAGGCGCGAAAGCGUGGGGAGCAAACGGG